AAAAUAUGUCCGGAGGGCAUUGUCUGGUCAGUAGCUUGAAUCUCUCCUAAGCUUCAUAGAGGGUGUCACCAUCUUUCUGUCUGAAGGUCUGAACCUCCACCUUUAGCUU